ACUGGAAACGGUGGCUAAUACCGGAUGUGCCUAUGGGUAAAAGAUUAAUUGCCUGAGGAUGAGCUCGCGUCUGAUUAGCUAGUUGGUGGGGUAAGAGCCUACCAAGGCGUCGAUCAGUAACUGGUCUGAGAGGAUGAUCAGUCACACUGGGACUGAGACACGGCCCAGACUCCUACGGGAGGCAGCAGUGGGGAAUUUUCCGCAAUGGGCGAAAGCCUGACGGAGCAAUACCGCGUGAGGGAGGAAGGCUCUUAGGUCGUAAACCUCUUUUCUCAGGGAAGAACACAAUGACGGUACCUGAGGAAUCAGCAUCGGCUAACUCCGUGCCAGCAGCCGCGGUAAUACGGAGGAUGCAAGCGUUAUCCGGAAUGAUUGGGCGUAAAGCGUCCGCAGGUGGCAAUUCAAGUCUGCUGUCAAAGACUGGGGCUUAACCCUGGAAAGGCAGUGGAAACUGAACAGCUAGAGUUGGGUAGGGGCAGAGGGAAUUCCUGGUGUAGCGGUGAAAUGCGUAGAGAUCAGGAAGAACACCGGUGGCGAAAGCGCUCUGCUGGGCCGCAACUGACACUCAUGGACGAAAGCUAGGGGAGCGAAUGGGAUUAGAUACCCCAGUAGUCCUAGCCGUAAACGAUGGAUACUAGGCGUUGCUCGUAUCGACCCAAGCAGUGUCGUAGCUAACGCGUUAAGUAUCCCGCCUGGGGAGUACGCGCGCAAGCGUGAAACUCAAAGGAAUUGACGGGGGCCCGCACAAGCGGUGGAGUAUGUGGUUUAAUUCGAUGCAACGCGAAGAACCUUACCAGGGCUGACAUGU
rnacentral:rRNA from 1 species